CACGAGAUCGACGUUUAAAGGUCUGUGCCGCGGACCAGACGGAGGGGUCCGUCAGGGCGGUCCACUCCCAUUGGAAGGGUACCGGGAUCGAUUCCCCGAUGUCUUUCUUUAGAAAGCAAAGAUGGUUGGCGUGAGGGAACUCAGAACCCAACUCCCUCCCUGGACGAGCCGUCGACCAUAGCCUCGGGGUUAAGAUUCUUCGACUCCCAGCCGAAGUGUUCCGGGUUCAAUCCCUGACCUAGACACGCCCGCUCCUUACAACCUGUAUCUGUAUCCCCUGUCACUUUGGACUGCUGUGUCUGCGGAAAUGGAUAAAAAGCACAAAUGGCAAACAGCAAAAAAAUGAAUAAACAUGUGUGGGGAGUUCUCCACUGAAUUCCUGGAGCGG
ensembl:lncRNA